rnacentral:rRNA from 1 species
AUUGAACGCUGGCGGCAGGCUUAACACAUGCAAGUCGAGCGGGGUGAUGGUGCUUGCACUAUCACUUAGCGGCGGACGGGUGAGUAAUGCUUAGGAAUCUGCCUAUUAGUGGGGGACAACAUCUCGCAAGGGAUGCUAAUACCGCACACGUCCUACGGGAGAAAGCAGGGGAUCCCUUGUGACCUUGCGCUAAUAGAUGAGCCUAGGUCGGAUUAGCUAGUUGGUGGGGUAAAGGCCUACCAAGGCGACGAUCUGUAGCGGGUCUGAGAGGAUGAUCCGCCACACUGGGACUGAGACACGGCCCAGACUCCUACGGGAGGCAGCAGUGGGGAAUAUUGGACAAUGGGGGGAACCCUGAUCCAGCCAUGCCGCGUGUGUGAAGAAGGCCUUAUGGUUGUAAAGCACUUUAAGCGAGGAGGAGGCUCUUUUGGUUAAUACCCAAGAUGAGUGGACGUUACUCGCAGAAUAAGCACCGGCUAACUCUGUGCCAGCCGCCGCAGUAA